rnacentral:tRNA from 1 species
GUGGUGCAUAUGGUUAACAUGCUUGGCUGCUAACCAAAAGGCUGGUGGUUUGAGUCCAUCC